GCCGUGGGUGUACGGAAGGAGGUGACUAAAGGGAGUCCUGCCCGCCGAGGGAACCGGAGAAAAUGUGAGCGUUAGCAACAUGGAGCUGGAAGGUAGGAAGCCCGGGGCUGUUGUCGCAGUUGUGACUGAGCCUUGCUUUACCCAGCAAUACAGGGUCUAUCUCGAGAAGCAGCAACUCUUGGAUAGACGGCAUCGUGUGGAAAAGAUGCCAGAUGGCACUGUGGCGCUCCCUGUGCUGGGAAAGACCCUCCCGGACCAGCACCUGAAGGAGCUGAGGACUCGCGUGGCCCCAGGCAGCACCUGUAUGCUGACGCAGCUCCUUCACCCUGUACCUUCAAAGGCGGCGCAGGGUUGUUCACCAGCCCAAAGGCUACGUCUGGAGGUGAGUCGCUGGGUAGAGGGCCGGGGAGUCACGUGGUCAGCUGAGUUGGAGGCUGAUUUGCCCAAAUCUUGGAAACGGCAUGGUAACCUGUUGUUGCUGAGUGAGGACUGCUUCCAAGCCAAGCAAUGGAAAAGUCUAGAACCAGAACUCUGGGAGACUGUUGCCGCGGCACUUGGCGUCCAGCGUUUAGCCAGACGAGGGCGAGUAUCACCGGAUGGCACUCGAACUCCAGCAGUGACUUUACUGCUGGGCGACCAUGGCUGGGUAGAGCACGUGGAUAAUGGAAUCCGAUAUAAAUUUGAUGUGACCCAGUGCAUGUUCUCCUUCGGAAACAUCACCGAGAAGCUGCGAGUGGCAUCACUGUCCUGUGCUGGGGAAGUGCUGGUGGAUCUUUAUGCAGGCAUUGGUUAUUUCACACUGCCAUUUCUCGUUCAUGCUGGUGCUGCCUUCGUCCACGCCUGUGAGUGGAACCCCCAUGCUGUAGUUGCUCUUAGAACAAACCUUGAGAUCAAUGGAGUAGCAGAUCGAUGCCAGAUACACUUUGGGGAUAACAGGAAGCUGAAGCUUUCCAACAUCGCGGACAGAGUGAACCUGGGGCUGAUUCCUAGCUCUGAAGAAGGUUGGCUCGUUGCCUGCCAAGUGCUACGACAGGAUGCAGGGGGCAUUUUGCAUAUCCACCAAAAUGUGGAAUCUUUCCCUGGAAAGAAUAUCCAGCCUCCUGGAAGCAGUGGAAUGGAGGAGGAGCGAUGGCCUUAUCCUCAGCAAAUUAUCAGCAAGCAAGGGAAAAAUAGAACUACCAGGGAUUCUGGAGGGGAAAUGCUGGCAGGUGCCCCCAAGCCAGAGUGGAAAAAGUGGGCAGAAUCUGCAGAAACACGCAUUGCUGCACUUCUUGAGCAAGUGCAUGGGAAACCGUGGAAGACACAAAUCCUGCACAUCCAGCCAGUGAAAUCCUAUGCCCCCCAUGUGGAUCACAUAGUCCUGGAUCUGAAAUGCUGCCCCUGUCCUCUCGUUGGUUAGAGGAGAUGGGUCCUGCGACACGAGGGAUCUGCAUGUGAGUAACCCUCAGUGCAUCAGCUCAGUUUUCUCAGAGGACUUGCUGGAGAAUAGAUUGGCCUGGUUAAGAAAAGGCAUCUAAUGGAAGCAAGCAAGAGAGACUGGAGGGUUCAGGAGGCUCACGGAGUCCUUGUCACCUCAAUCCAGGAAUUUGAAAAAGCCCUAAAGGCUUCCUUUCUGAGCUUCAGUACUGGUUGCCAGUUUAAUGCUCCCACUUUAUGGACAUGUGAUUAAAAAAAAAUUUUUGUUUCAGAACUUCCUCAACCUCGAGCUGUUCUAUUUAUUAAUGCCAUAAUUCAAAUAAAUUAUGUGCACACACUACUACAUAACUAUACUGUGUACAUUUUAAAUACAUAAACAUAGAAAAUGAUGUUUAACAUUUUAACAUAAAAAUGAUGAGAAACGAAUAGGAAAUUCAUCUCCUCCUACUCGGGCAUGCAAAUGAGAGAAAAAAAAUGUCAUUCUCAACAGCCUCGGGGUGUAGCCACUUCACAUUGGGCAGACUGUAAAACUCAUCGUUUUCAAACUAAAGCUGGGUUUUAAGUGAUUGUAACUAUUCAAAUGUUUAAAAAACUAAUAAAAAACCAGCCCAGCUCAUACAUUGCUGGUGGGACUGUAGAAGGGUACAGCCACUUUGGAAAACAGUUUGGUAGUUCCUCAAAAUAUUUCAGAUAGUUCCUGUAUGACUCAGCAGUUCCAUUCCUAGGUACAGGUUUCCCCUGCUAUCCGAAAAUAGAGCGUUCCUAUGAAACCUUUGUAAGCCAAAAUGGCGUCAAGCGAACAAUUAUCAUUAAUUUGUAUGGGAGAAAUUUUUGAGCAUUCCCAGGCCCAAAAAAUAACCUACCAAAUAACACAUAAAACCUAAAAUAAUACUAAAAUAUACUAAAAGCAGGAAUGAUAUGCUUACAGACACAGGUCAAAGCUAUGGCGGCCUGAUGCUGAGUGUAGUUCCCGGGGAAGGAACUUGGCGACACCACUCUAGCUGCUCAGGUGCAUGCUGCUCUUUAAUGGCUCACUGCAAUUUUCGCUUUUCGAAGAAGUGAAAAUCCACGUUGGAUUCGGUUAGUGAAAACAGGUACUAAUGUAGGUCUUUUGUAAAAGCAAAGUGGCAUAAAGCGAACUUUUGAAAAGCAGGGUAUACCUGUAUAAACUUAACAGCAAUGAAAACAUACAUUUACAUUAAAACUUGUACAUGAAUGUUCAUAGCAGCAUUAUUGAUAAUAGCCAGAAAGUAGAAGCAACCCAAAACUUCAACAGAUGAAUGAAUAAACAAAAUGCGGUAUAUCCAUACAAUGGAAUAUUCAGCCAUAAAAAUGCUUAAUGAAGUGCUGAAACGUGCUACAAAGUGGAUGAACCUCAAAACCAUAUACUAAGUGAAAGAAGCCAGACACAAAAGGCCACAUAAUAUGAUUUCAUUUAUACAAAAUAUUCAGACUAGGUCAAUCCAGAUUAAGGUUUUGCAGAAUGCAGAUUAUAGUUGUUGGGGCUGGAGGGAGAAGAGAAUGGAGAGCACCUGCUAAAUGGGUAAAUUUUUCCUUUUGGAGUGAUGAAAAUGUUUUGGACGCUGUGUCACUGAGUUAUUUACUUUAAAACGGUUAAUUUUACGUAAAUUACACCUCAGUAAGAAGUUCUUCAAAAAGAAAAAAAAAUAAAACUGGGCCUUCUGGUGUUCUGAGUAGACUGUACAAGAGCUUUUAUCCUGGAGUCUGACCUUCAUUUCAAGUCAAAUCUCCAUGUUCUGUUUAACAUAGAAUCACGGAAUUUUAGAGCGUGAAAAGGCCCACUUUCUCUUCCUUAGCUGGGCACCAUUGUUCCCUGGCCCCCACAGCUUAGAUGAAUCUUCCCGCUGUUUAGUAGCCCUUUGCAUGAAUAAAACCUAUAGAUCUUUAUUUUUUAUUUUAAAACAUUCCAACAGUUUUGCUCACAAUUGUACAUGGCUUUUAAAAAUGCAAAUAAUGCAGGUAAGUAAUGAUAGGAAAUAACAUUUCUCUGCCCUAUUCCCCACUUCCCAUGGCAACCUCACAAGAUAAGUGCUAUUCACAGUUACAGUUUGGAGUUCAUUUUUCGAUUCCUUCUCUCUCAGCCCAAAUGUAUUUUCAUGUUGUGAUUAUACUAUUACACAUACAAUACAUAUUGUUUGCUUAUUUUUUUAAUUUUGGACUAUAUUAUAGGACAACUUUCAUGAUCCAUACUACAGAUCUUCAUAAUUCUUUUUACUCCC